rnacentral:rRNA from 1 species
UAAAGUGCUUUCGAAGAGUCGAGUUGUUUGGGAAUGCAGCUCUAAGUGGGUGGUAAAUUCCAUCUAAAGCUAAAUAUUGGCGAGAGACCGAUAGCGAACAAGUACAGUGAUGGAAAGAUGAAAAGAACUUUGAAAAGAGAGUGAAAAAGUACGUGAAAUUGUUGAAAGGGAAGGGCUUGAGAUCAGACUUGGUAUUUUGCGAUCCUUUCCUUCUUGGUUGGGUUCCUCGCAGCUUACUGGGCCAGCAUCGGUUUGGAUGGUAGGAUAAUGACUAAGGAAUGUGGCUCUACUUCGGUGGAGUGUUAUAGCCUUGGUUGAUACUGCCUGUCUAGACCGAGGACUGCGUCUUUUGACUAGGAUGUUGGCAUAAUGAUCUUAAGCCACCCGUCUUGAAACACGGACCAAGGAGUCUAACGUCUAUGCGAGUGUUUGGGUGUAAAACCCGUACGCGUAAUGAAAGUGAACGUAGGUGAGAGCUCUUAAGAGUGCAUCAUCGACCGAUCCUGAUGUCUUCGGAUGGAUUUGAGUAAGAGCAUAGCUGUUGGGACCCGAAAGAUGGUGAACUAUGCCUGAAUAGGGUGAAGCCAGAGGAAACUCUGGUGGAGGCUCGUAGCGGUUCUGACGUGCAAAUCGAUCGUCGAAUUUGGGUAUAGGGCGAAAGAC